GGAUUGUGGCUCAAUGGUAGAGCACUUGCCUAGCAUGUGUGAGGCCUUGGGUUUGAUCCUCGGCACCA
rnacentral:tRNA from 1 species